GCCCAGCUUGAGAAUCGGGCGGCUGUGCCGUCCGAAUUGUAGUCUGGAUAGGCGUCCUCAGCGACGGACCGGGCCCAAGUCCCCUGGAAAGGGGCGCCUGGGAGGGUGAGAGCCCCGUCCGGCCCGAACCCUGUCACCCCACGAGGCGCCGUCAACGAGUCUUUGUGUAUGAAUGGACAGUGUCUGAAUGC
rfam:Triticum aestivum genome assembly, contig: Triticum_aestivum_CS42_TGACv1_scaffold_157966_2DL